UACGGGGGAGCAAGCGUUGUUCGGAUUUACUGGGCGUAAAGGGCGCGUAGGCGGCCACCGCAAGUCGACUGUGAAAUCUCCGGGCUUAACCCGGAAAGGUCAGCCGAUACUGCGGGGCUAGAGUGCAGAAGGGGCAACUGGAAUUCUCGGUGUAGCGGUGAAAUGCGUAGAUAUCGAGAGGAACACCUGAGGUGAAGACGGGUUGCUGGGCUGACACUGACGCUGAAGCGCGAAAGCUAGGGAGCAAACGGG
rnacentral:rRNA from 1 species